CAUACCACUUGUUGCCUCGGCGGAUCAGCCCGCUCCCGGUAAAACGGGACGGCCCGCCAGAGGACCCCUAAACUCUGUUUCUAUAUGUAACUUCUGAGUAAAACCAUAAAUAAAUCAAAACUUUCAACAACGGAUCUCUUGGUUCUGGCAUCGAUGAAGAACGCAGCAAAAUGCGAUAAGUAAUGUGAAUUGCAGAAUUCAGUGAAUCAUCGAAUCUUUGAACGCACAUUGCGCCCGCCAGUAUUCUGGCGGGCAUGCCUGUUCGAGCGUCAUUUCAACCCUCAAGCACAGCUUGGUGUUGGGACUCGCGUUAAUUCGCGUUCCUCAAAUUGAUUGGCGGUCACGUCGAGCUUCCAUAGCGUAGUAGUAAAACCCUCGUUACUGGUAAUCGUCGCGGCCACGCCGUUAAACCCCAACUUCUGAAUGUUGACCUCGGAUCAGGUAGGAAUACCCGCUGAACUUAAGCAUACA
rnacentral:rRNA from 1 species